UACGAAGGGGGCUAGCGUUGCUCGGAAUUACUGGGCGUAAAGGGAGCGUAGGCGGGUUAUCAAGUUGGAGGUGAAAGCCCAGGGCUCAACCUUGGAAUUGCCUUCAAAACUGAUAGCCUAGAGUAUGAUAGAGGUAUGUGGAACUCCGAGUGUAGAGGUGAAAUUCGUAGAUAUUCGGAAGAACACCAGUGGCGAAGGCGACAUACUGGGUCAUGACUGACGCUGAGGCUCGAAAGCGUGGGGAGCAAAAGGG
rnacentral:rRNA from 1 species